AUUUAACGCUGGCGGCAGGCCUAACACAUGCAAGUCGAGCGGAGCGGCGGACGGGUGAGUAAUGCCUAGGAAUCUGCCUGGUAGUGGUGGAUAACGUCCGGAAACGGGCGCUAAUACCGCAUACUAUCAGAUGAGCCUAGGUCGGAUUAGCUAGGUGGUGGGGUAAAGGCCUACAAAGCCGACGAUCCGUAACUGGUCUGAGAGGAUGAUCAGGGACACUGGAACUGAGACACGGUCCAUACUCCUACGGGAGGCAGCAGUGGGGAAUAUGGGACAAUGGGCGAAAGCCUGAUCCAGCCCUGCCGCGUGUGUGAAGAAGGUCUUCGGAUUGUAAAGCACUUUAAGUUGGGAGGCGUUACCAACAGAAUAAGCACCGGCUAACUUCGUGCCAGCAGCCGCGGUAAUAC
rnacentral:rRNA from 1 species